GAUGUAUCCUCAUCUUCAAGGAGUCAGGCAAAGAAGAAUGAUGGCUCCGCAUCUUCAGAUAGGCCUUCUCUCUUUAGAGGCAGCAGUUCUCACCUAAGCCGAAGAAGUGCAUUUCAGUGAUAUCUAGACGAGGCUGUGCAACAAGAAGAGGAAGGUAGGGGUGCGGAUGAGGAAGAAUAUGUCGCGAAUGUGGAUGGCGAUGGAGAUGGAGGUAGUGGAGAGGGAGAUGGGUGCGAGGACAGAGAAGAGUGCGAGGAUAGAGAUGGAGAUGCAGAGGAGGAGGAAAAGAAGGAUACUGCUGCACAACCUGUGUUCAGAUAUUUAUGAUCAUUUCAUGAAAAAUUUUAUAUGAGCUAGCUAACUAAUAUAGUGCAUUUCGAUUUAGAGGCAACAAUGUGAUGACUCCUAUAGCAACCAAUCCGGCAAAUCGUCGACGGAUUAGACCCCAUGGGGAUUGAUAGUGGGACGAUAUUUGUUGGGGGGAAGAAAUAGGUUAAGACCUGUGAAUGCAACAUUGGGAGCACUUUGUCAGUUUCACUACCCAGGAAUGGUCACAAUUGGAGGUGUGCUUCAGCCUGCAUUGAAGUGGGAGCACUAUAAGCUGCAAUCGGAUGAUCAGGGCGUCACGACUGCAGCGAGAGUUUAGAAUGAGUUCUGGAAGAGGUAUCGUUUGCCGGAGGGGGAGGAGCAGUGCCUACAACAUAGGGCUCAUUUUUCGUUCGACAAGGCAACGACGAAGGUGGUAAGGGACAUGAUGUCCAAUGCUGGUAUACAAUGCAUUUGUUUAUACUAUAAAAAAUAAAGCUGCAAGAUAUGAAUAAGAAACUGGGUGCUUCUGAGAUAUAUCUCCGAGAGGAUGAGUACCUUCAAGUUGAUAUUAGCGGUUUGCCUUGGUUGAGAAAGUGUCCGGAUGUUUGGCGAGCACUUUGUGCUUAUUGGGCUUCAUCUAGCUUUGUGGAAAAAUUCAGGAUAAAGAGAGCUAAUCGUCAAGUAGGACCACGGGUUACACAAAGAUAUGGGGCUGAUGGAUACCUUCGUUUGGCUCG